UACGGAGGGUGCGAGCGUUGUCCGGAAUCACUGGGCGUAAAGGGCGCGUAGGUGGCUUGGCAAGCGUGUGGUGAAAGCCCGGGGCUCAACCCCGGGUCUGCCGUGCGAACUGCUAUGGCUUGAGCACUGUAGAGGCAGGUAGAAUUCCGGGUGUAGCGGUGGAAUGCGUAGAGAUCCGGAAGAAUACCGGUGGCGAAGGCGGCCUGCUGGGCAGUGGCUGACACUGAGGCGCGAAAGCUAGGGGAGCGAACGGG
rnacentral:rRNA from 1 species